rnacentral:misc_RNA from 1 species
CCUCAACCUACCCAUUUCUCUGUUUUUGUUCUACUUCAUUUCAUAGAACAAAAUUAAUCUCAAAAGAUUAGAAAGUUUCGUUUGUUUUUUGUUCUCAUUUUUCUUUUCGCUGUUUUUGUGAUGAUGGGUAGGUUUCAGGAGAGAUUGUCUGCCUUUUUCAGUAACAGAUGGCUGGUGUUUGUGGCUGCAAUGUGGAUACAAUCGUGUGCUGGUGUUGGGUAUUUGUUUGGGAGUAUAUCACCAGUUAUAAAGAGAUCAUUGAACUAUAAUCAGAGGCAGCUUGCUAGUUUGGGUGUGGCUAAGGAUCUUGGGGAUAGUGUUGGGUUCUUGGCUGGGAGUUUGUCUGAAAUCUUGCCUUUGUGGGGUGCUUUGUUGGUUGGUGCUUUGCAGAAUUUUGUUGGAUAUGGAUGGGUUUGGCUUGUUGUUACUGGUAGAGCUCCUGUUUUGCCUUUGUGGGCUAUGUG